rnacentral:rRNA from 1 species
GGAACGAACGCUGGCGGCAUGCCUAAUACAUGCAAGUCGAACGAACUCUUCGGAGUUAGUGGCGCACGGGUGCGUAACGCGUGGGAAUCUGCCCUUGGGUUCGGAAUAACAGUUGGAAACGACUGCUAAUACCGGAUGAUGACGAAAGUCCAAAGAUUUAUCGCCCAGGGAUGAGCCCGCGUAGGAUUAGCUAGUUGGUGAGGUAAAGGCUCACCAAGGCGACGAUCCUUAGCUGGUCUGAGAGGAUGAUCAGCCACACUGGGACUGAGACACGGCCCAGACUCCUACGGGAGGCAGCAGUAGGGAAUAUUGGACAAGUGGGACGAAAGCCGUGAUCCAAGCAAGUGCCGCGUGAGUGAUGAAGUCCUUAGGUUGUAAAGCUCUUUACCCGAGAUGAAUAAUGACAGUA